rnacentral:tRNA from 1 species
GGGACUGUGGCUUAGUGAUAGAGUGCUUGCCUAGCAUGCAUGAAGUCCUGGGUUCGAUUCCUCAAUACCA